AGUGAUGUAUGCGCAGGGCAUUGUUGCUCUGUCUCCAUAUCUGGAAGACCCAUAUUCACAACAUGGAUAUAAACAUUACUACGAUCCAGAGAGCAGUUCAGGAUACAUUGCAUGGCGGUUGAAGACCAUUCAAAGAAAAGCUGUGGAGGAAAGAAGCGUCUCAGUUUGCAAAUCUCCCAAAAAUAGAACAAGAUUUCCGACUCCUGUUUUGUGAGGUCACUGGGAGCAAAUUCUUGGAGAGGUGGCUCACCAAUCUCAAAGCAAAGGUUGUAAAGGAAAGUCAUGGACU